CCGCCGGCGAUGCCGGUGGUGGGCGGAGGCUCGCCGGUCCACCGCCAGCUGACACUAAAACUAAACGGUCGACCCGACCGGACCGCACCGGACUAGACCAGACCGACUCCCAGGUCGAGCCGCACCUCACACCUAGCCUAGCCGCAUUCCGGCGCCGCCGCCGGCGAACUCCGCCUCUCCGGCGCCCUCCUCCCGGCCAAGACGCCGCGCUCGCCACCUCGCUCUCUUCCUCGUCCUCGUCCUCGUCCACGCACACGCCCAUCUCCCCACCGCUUCCUCUAGCUUCUCCUCUUUUUCAGCCGCCGCGUGCUCCAGGCCGACCUCAACCUCCAGCCGUCGACAACGCACACGGUCUCCUCAGGCACGUGCAGGCGAGCUCACGGUAGGGCUGCCGGAGCACCCGGCUACGGUCCCCAUCUCGGAGCUGCUCACUUGAACUCCAUCUGUGUGGCGCCUGCGACGUGUUCGACGGAAUGUUCAAGCCAGCAGAUUGCAGAGCACUGUACUGAGAGGCACAACUUGGUACAGAUGGGUCAGAACUGGAAGCUGCUUCUCAAGAUUUCAGCAAUGUUAACUACCUGGAUGUACAUUGUAUAAAGGAGCCCUCUGCAUGUGGAGCGGAGAUAACUGUUGCGUCUAAAACAUUCCUGUGCAUGGUCUCGUAUAGCUGAAGCACAAUUGAAGAAUAAGGUCUCAUGUGAUGGUUAACUGAAUUGUCCGUCACGCCGAUGAACAGUGAUGCAUGGGAGUAUACUGUCUCUUGAUGCAUAUACCUGACAGGAGAAAACGCCGCAAAGGCUUCAGACAUCAGUUUUGGCGGUGACAGGAAAGACAGCCAAGAUGGACUCAUUGAGCCUGACGAGUGUGUACAAGUGUGCCUUUCUUCUGCUUCUUCUUGCUGAAUUGCUUCCUGGCCACGAUAGCUACCCCCUUGCCUUCCUAGCUCACCUGGACAGGUGCACCAGCGGCAACGCCAUCCACUGGCAAGCUCGAUACUUAGGACGGGGAGCUUGAUUCGUCCAUUGAUUCGGGAGUGUUCAGCGUGCUGCUGCUUGCCCUGUUUGCUAAGUGCUGCUGUUGCUUCCCUUGCCGCUCCUGUAGCUCCCAACAAAGGCCAAACUGCGAGCCAAGAGAGAAAGGGCAAGAGCAGUUCUUCAACAGUGUAUGCGUUAAUGGGAUCAGGAGCUGCAAUAUUUCCUUGCAACCGCCGCAUGAAUGCUAGUAUUGUUGUGCCCGUGUCUUCAAGUAGGCAAUUGCAGAGCAUUGUCCUGAGAGCAGUGUGUCUUUCCUUCAACCAAUGAAAUAAAAAAUUGAGUCAACUUCUAACUUGGGUUGUGGAGGCAUAACUUGGUACUGAUGGUCAGAACUGGAAGCAACUUCUGAAGAUUCUAACAUGGGUUGUGGAGAUAAGAUCGGCACUGUCAUGUUUGGAGACGGCGGUCAGAGUAGUAAUGAGAAUAAUGCAGAUGUGUGCAGCUUGGAGGGCCGCAUUGUUUGGCGUCAACGAGACCUUCGCCGUGGCAGAUAUGGCUGCAGCCAACUUCAGAAAUUCACUUGACCAAGAAAGUUGCCACUGAACAUGUGCAGAGAAUGGUCGCCUGAACAAGUUACUGCCAUCACCGUACUCCAAGUCAAACAACCAAAAAGGCCAUGGUUUCAUCUCUAUUAGUGCUCCAAUAACAUCCUGCAGUUGCCCAAACUUAAGAUAAGUGGCCCAAGAACUGUUCUGGAACUGUAGUUGCUUGAGACAAAUAUCCAUGACAUCAUGAGUGUAGAGAGCCGCAGCAAAAUCAACACCAGCGAGAUGCUUGUGACCAUCAAUUAAUUUUUGUCCAUUACACGGCAAGUCCCAGAACUCAUAACUUGAAACCAACUGAAGUAGUAUCCUCCUAUGCCACAACUCAAUCUUGCUAGCCCCUGGAUCCCAAGGCAGUAAAAGGUAUGUGUUACCUGUAGGAAACUGAAAAAUUGGCCAGGGCAUUGCUUCAUCGCACUUGACCACGAGAAUCAAUGAACGUAACACCACUGCAGUCAGUUAGACUGUAAAUCAGGGAAGGAUCAUAAAAUAAGAUAGAAGGCCUGUUGAAGAUGCACGAAACUGCCUGCAGAGAGAUGUUGCCGCCAUUCUGAAAGGUAGCCACAGUGACUAGGCCAGUGGCAAGCAGACUGGUAAUAGCUGAGAUAGCUUUCAGCUUCAUAUGCCGAGGUAUAGUGACAAUAAGAUGGUCGACACUCUCCGCAUUGACGAUGAUGGACUGGUCGGUGUCGGAGUUGUUGCUCUCCGUCGAAGCUUCUGCGCCACCGGAUGACCACAUCGAACAUGGGGCUGUUGACACCUAAGUGAGCUCCAUGUUACUCACGGAAACCGCAACAGGUGCAGGAGCCAUCUGGAGCGAGUCCUCCAUGGAAGAGGGUGCCUCUAUGAUCUGCUGGGCACAAUAGCCGGAGUUAAGAUCAGUCGUCUAUCCUUUGGCUAGCAGCUCUGCGGUGAAGAUGAUGUCCUCGCAUGGAUCCGUCUUAGUAUUGACGGCCUCAGGGGCGACCUCGAUGUGGGGAACACCCUUGCACAUCACACAAGCAGUCGGGCCGGUGGUAGAUGCAACUUCGUUGAUGUCGCCAUGGACCCCAACUCGUAUGGCAAAGCAAACUUGACGUCGAGGUAGCAGCACUCCUCAAAGAGAUACUUGCCAUGCAGGGACACUGGAGGCCGAGCCGCCUCAUCCCUUGAUCUCAACUGGACAAUGGCCUUCAAGUAGUGAGAACCCUUGCGAGUGGUGGCUCUCGGAUUCACAACGAGCCAUUGCACCAUAUGGAGCAAGUAUUAGGCGUAGCAUAUCCCCAGUCAGUGUGUAGAAUGCACCAAACACCAUGAUGCUUAGAGCGGGGCUGCCACAUUCGUUGCGGUUGCAGCUGGAGCGCUGCCCGGUGUAGAGACCAAUAGCACCUCUGUAAGGACGCCUGUGGAUGUCGCCGAGGGUGUGUCCGAAUUGCUUGUGGGCAUGGCGCGCAAUAUCUCCAGCGUGGCGGUCACGGUUGAAAUAGCCGCCGCUGGUUCGUGGAAGUCGCGGGCGUGGACGCCACGCCACUACUCGGGAAACGCGGAGGCGCCGACGAUGAGGUCAUAGAGACCCCGAGCCCCUGGGCUGAGGUCAUCCUUGGUGGCGGCGCACUUCCCGCUGGAUUCGUCGGUGGGGACGACGCUGGUUGAACGCGUUGUUGACGAAGGCGGCGGCACCACUGCGGGGCCCCGCUUGGGGUCGUGGGUGGUGUCAGCAGGUUUUUUUGUGAUCCUAAGAAAUCUGAAGUCUUGAUACAUAUACCUGACGGAAGAAAACGCCGGAAAGGCUAAUGUCGGUGACAGGAAAGACAGCGAAGAUGAACUCAAUGAGCCUGACGUGUGUGUAUAAGUUUGCCUUUCUUCUGCUAGAGACCAUCUCUAGAAGGCGUCCCUUUUCCAGUGACCUGUCAAGGGGAGAAGAGCAGGUUCUGCACUCAGAGCAU